UCUGAAUCUGCGAACGGCUCCGCAAACCAGUUGUAAACCAAAGCAAGCAAACCCGUGGUCUGCCUUUCAUUAGGUGGGCUGCGGGUGAUACGGAUAACCCUGGUAAUUCUGAGGCUAAUACGAGACUGUAGUCCCUGGCUAACCGGGAAACUGGAAGGCUGGCGGGCGUGUAUCUAUUUGCAAGACGGAUCCAGGAAGGGGUGCACGCUCUGACCGCGACAAAGACAGUUCCGACAAACCCUCGGGUGCGUUGGUUCUGAGCGGCUCUUGCGCUGUGCUUCUGACCUAUCAACUAGAUGGCAGCGUAACGGACAUGCCAUGGU
rnacentral:rRNA from 1 species